AUUGAACGCUGGCGGAAUGCUUUACACAUGCAAGUCGAACGGUAGAGGGGGCAACCCCUCGAGAGUGGCGAACGGGUGAGUAAUAUAUCGGAACGUGCCCAGUCGUGGGGGAUAACGUAGCGAAAGUUACGCUAAUACCGCAUACGAUCCAAGGAUGAAAGCGGGGGAUCGCAAGACCUCGCGUGAAUGGAGCGGCCGAUAUCAGAUUAGGUAGUUGGUGGGGUAAAGGCUCACCAAGCCAACGAUCUGUAGCUGGUCUGAGAGGACGACCAGCCACACUGGAACUGAGACACGGUCCAGACUCCUACGGGAGGCAGCAGUGGGGAAUUUUGGACAAUGGACGCAAGUCUGAUCCAGCCAUUCCGCGUGCAGGAUGAAGGCCCUCGGGUUGUAAACUGCUUUUGUACGGAACGAAAAGGUCUCUCUUAAUACGGGGGACUCAUGACGGUACCGUAAGAAUAAGCACCGGCUAACUACGUGCCAGCCGCCGCGGUAA
rnacentral:rRNA from 1 species